rnacentral:rRNA from 1 species
AGACAUUAGGCGCUAAGGUCUUAUGUCAAGAGGGAAACAGCCCAGAUUGUUCGUUAAGGUCUCCAAAUAAUAUUCUAAGUGAAAAAGGAAGUAAAAAAAUUAUAACAACCAGUAGGUAGGCUUGGAAGCAGCCAUCCUUUAAAGAAAGCGUAAUAGCUCAUUGGUCUAGUUUUUUUGCGCCUAAAAUGUAUCGAGACUUAAGAAAUUUACCGAAACGGCAAGUUUAAUUAUUUUAAAUUAAACGGUAGCGGAACAUUCUGUAUGUUAAUAAAGAUAUAUUGUAAAAUAUGUUGAAAAUAUCAGAAAAGAAAAUGCUGGCAUUAGUAACAAAAAAUAAUGACUAGAAUCAUUAUCACCGUAAAUCCAAGGGUUUCUAUGUUCAGAUGUAUUUCAUAGAGUGAAACGGCCCCUAAGAAAGAUUUGACGAAAGCAAAUUUUAAUGGGAUAAUUUUUAAAUUAAAUUGUUUUAAAAAAGUGACAAAAUUUUUAAUUUUCAGGAAAUAACUUUUUUAAUUAAAAAACCGUACCCUAAACCGACACAGGUGGAUAGGUCGAGUAGACUAAGGUGGAUGAGAAAACUAUAUUGAAGGAACUCGGCAAAAUGACUCUGUAACUUCGGGAUAAAGAGUACCUAUUAUUAAAAAGCAAAUCAAUCACGACACAUUACCCCUGGGAGCAGGUAUACUAGGCAUAAGCAAAAACGGAAACGUUUUUAGACGAGAAGCAUGACGUGUAAAAAGUCAAUAUUUCAUUUAAUAAUUAGGUGGCACAGAAUAGGGGGUUGCGACUGUUUAAUAAAAACUUAGGACUCUGCUAAAUGGUAACAUGAUGUAUAGGGUCUGACACCUGCCCGGUGCUGGAAGAUUAAUAGGAGAUGUUUACGCAUUGAAUGGAAGUCCCAGUAAACGGCGGCCGUAACUCUGACGGUCCUAAGGUAGCGAAAUUCCUUGUCGGGUAAGUUCCGACCUGCAUGAAUGGUGUAACGACAUCCCCGCUGUCUCCAAUAUAGACUCAGUGAAUUUGAAAUAUCCGUGAAGAUGCGGAUUCUUUAUAGUUAGACGGAAAGACCCCGUGAACCUUUACUACAUCUUUAUAUUGUUAUUUUAUUUAAUAUGUAUAGAAUAAGUGGAAAUCUUUGAAACUUUUACGCCAGUAAAUUGUGGAGAUAACAGUGAAAUACCACUCUUAUUAAAAUAAAUAACUAAUAUUUUCAAAAUAAACAGUGUAUGGUUGGUAGUUUGACUGGGGCGGUCGCCUCCUAAAGAGUAACGGAGGUGCACAAAGGUAAGUUCAAAUUGGAUUAUUAUAUCAAUUGUAGAAUGUAAUGGUAUAAGCUUGCUUGACUGUAAGAUAGACAUAUCAAACAGGGACGAAAGUCGGUCAUAGUGAUCCGAUAAUUCUUUGUGGAAAGAUUAUCGCUCAACGGAUAAAAGGUACUCCGGGGAUAACAGGCUAAUGACUCCUAAGAGCUCUUAUCGACGGAGU